UGUUGGAUGAAAUAGUUUCUACAUCAGCCUCAAAUUUACUUGCCAUCUGUGGUAGUCAAACAAAUAAUGGGUUGUUUAACUAAUCAACAAAAGUGAUGCCAAUUAGCUUAUGUUUCUGAAACUAAUAUUAAAUAAAUUUUAAUUUUUAGGAGAUCAAUUUUCUGAAAAUGUGACCUCUAUUCUACACUUAAAAGUACAACAAAGUUUAUGUCAUUUCUAAACAUUAAUCAAUUAAAUUAAUUCAUUAAUCACUAUUAAAUUGAAUGUAUUUAUGUCUUAGAAAAAAAGACAACCUUUUAUCCAAAUUGAAUAUCAAUUAUGACACUGGUUUUAUAAUAAGCCAACAUGAACAAGACAAUUUUCCUGUAUCAAAAAAGCGUAUGGUAUGAUAAAAUAUAUAGUAUCUCGAUAUAUUAUUGUUGUUUGUAUGUUACUAUGUACAUAUUUGUAUUGUAUCGUUGCUCUUCAGGUUUGCUAAAGCUAGUAUUACCUCAUCUAUGAGCGUUUGGGAGGGUAGCUGCUGGAGCAAGCUACUCUGCAAAAUAAUAUUGCUGAGCUGGUCAAGUUGUCCAGCUGCUGCUGUCUGGGACACGAAUUCUUCCCUCUCAUCUGGUUGCUUGACAGGAACCUGUGUGGUUGGUCCUUCGACUAACGGCGAUGUCACAGCUUCUGCCUCAACAUACUGUUUCAGCCGGUCUAAGGAAACCUUCUGCUUCAGCCUUUGACCGUCUGAAAGGAGGCAGGCUGUCUUUCCCUGUAUAUGAUCAAUUGUAUAAGGGCCUGUAUAGUUAGCUUGAAGGUUUCCUUUUCGGGUGGCUGUCUUUGCACGAAGGAGGAGCACUCGGUCGCCUUCUUUUAAAGCAACAUAUUUUUUGGUUUGCCUCAUUUUGAAGUCCUUUUGCUGCUUUCUAUGUGCAGUGUCUAUGUUGGUGGUCACCUCAUCCAUUGCUCUUUUUCUUAUGUGUGUUAUGUUUUCUACCAUCUCUUCCUCCUCUUGUGGUGUUACAGUAGGAAUCUGCAAUAGUCAAGAAAUGUUACACAUGUUUGUGUACUUGGGCAUAAUAUUUGCUUGGACUUUUUAUGAAGAUAUUACACUAAUUAUGAAUGAUAUUGAAAUGUACAAUUAUUUGUUGACUCCAGUAUUUGAAGAGCACACUUGCUGACCUGUAUGCAUGUAUUUGUUUCAUAAAUCUUAUUUAACACAUGCCAUUCCCUGUUUCCCAUGUAAUAUAACCAUAACAUAUAUUUUUAUCUUACACAUGUGUAAUAUACUUUAUAAGUGUUUUCAUAGGCUUAGUUUUCGUUUAUUGACCAAUCGCAUUUUGUUAUGAAUGACGUUGCAACAUCAGAUGACAUCAUGUAAACAACAUUCGGGAUUUAUUAUUAUGUUUGCGUACUAUUUAUUUAAUUUGCUUAUUUAAAAGCAUGUGAUAAAAAGAUCUGACAAUCGUUGUCAUAUCAUACCAUAUUUUAUUAAACGCGUCAAAGGCUCGCUUACUAACAAAAUUCCUGAACUCGUUAAUAAAAUAUAGUAAGAUAUGACAACUCAUGCUAGCUCCUAUAUGUAUAUCCGGCAUUAACAGAUCAAAUGUAAAACAUUGGAUAAAGCUUUACAAAUUGAGGUAAUUAAGCUUAAUGUUCAUGUAAUUGGGAUUAUCUUAAUGAAGUAUCUCAAUUUCUCAGUAUUAUUUUCACACUUAGAUACUACUCAAUUCUGGCAUUUAAUUUAUUGAUUCAUUUAUUUAAUGCCAAAUAACAUUUGUAUGCCAUGUAUAUGUAAUUUAAUUGUAUUCUAUAAAUCCUCUGUUCUUAAUAACAAUUGUAUCACAUACUGCUCCAGUGAACGCUGGCGGAAGCUGACUUGGGUAAACCGCCUCUCUCCCGUACAAAAGGAAGAAGGGUGUGAACUUGGUGCUGGAGUGCCGUUUGGUGCGCUGGGCAAACAGAGCUCCAUCAAGUUUUAGAUGGAAUUGGGAACGCUUCAACCCACUUGGUGAAAUAAUCUGUUGCGGUAAAAAUGAACUUGUUGCCACUGGAUGUUUCUUGGAAUGGGCCCAUAAGAUCUACACCAACCAGCUCGAAUGGGCAAGAAACCUAGAAUUUAAGGAACUAUUACAAACCGAACUUAACAGAAGAAAAUAUACUAAUGGCUAUGCAUCGUGGACUCGCAUUUUUCCUUAAAAUGCAGUUUCAAAAUUGAUAUAGAACAAUGUAUUUGUCAGCGUCCCAUAUAUAGCACAUUAUAUAUUAACUGUUUGUAAUUUGUACAUUCAUGUUACUUAUUUUGUAAUAUGUAUAUUAUACAAUUGCUGUACAUAGAAUUUAUAACAUCCUUUUUCUCAUUGAAUGUAUAUGGUCCUGGUGUUGUUGUCUCCGUCUUCGUCCGCGUCGUGCUAAAACCUUAACAAUUUGUCAAGGUUUUGAACAUUAGCUCUAAAAUCAAAGUGCUUCAACCGACAACUUCAUAUGUAGCUGCACCUUGAUGAGUUCUAAAUGCCACACCCAAUUUUGGGUCACUAGGUCAAAGGUCAAGGUCACUGUGACUUGAAAAAAAAUUCUGUCAAGCUUUCAUGUAUUCAAAACUGCACCCGCAGCUGAGCGUGCCCGUUAUGCUAUGCUCUUGUUCCUUUAUUGUUAGGUUUUUAUCUGUUUUUACUGUACAGAGAAUAUUUUACGUAUUGUAAUACCUUUAUUUGCUGGAGUUCGGGUUUCUUGGCUGGUUUUAAGGGGUCAGACUUCUGACAAGCCUCACAGGUACUCACCUAAAAUAACAGAUUGUAUUGUUUAUUUAUAAUUUAUUGUCUUUGUGUGUCUAUAUAUGUAUACAGUGGUCUUUAGUAAAAGAUAAAUAUAUAAUCACAAGUGAAAAACCAAAAUAUGUAAACCAAAAUUUAAAAAGCAUGUGGAAAUUAUCAGAUGCAUGUCAUAAUAAGGCUUUAUAGAGGUAUAACAACAGGGAACUUUACGUUUAAAUUGUUUUUGCACCUUACUCAAAAGCUGUGUUUGUGACUGUUUGAAGAAAUCUAAACUUACAUUUUAAUAAAUAACCAUUAAUCAAGAAAUUUGAAGUAAAGAAAGGAUUAAUUACUUUUUAACCUCUACAAUUCCCACCUUUUCCCUGAUUUAUACUUACGUAUUUCUUAAUGUCCUCUGUGAGCCCUGGCCACCAAUAGCGCAAGUUGAUCGCCUCUCUAGUCUUGUUUAUGCCACUGUGGCCACCAAAGGCACUUCCAUGGAACUCCUUAAGGAUAUUGUUUACAUCUUUUUUCAAAACAACCUUUGUACCAUCGAUCUUUCCAGGUACAAAUCUGUACAGAUCACAACAUAAAACCAAAUUUAGGAAAUACCUUGAUUUUAACAUUAUAACAUAUUUCGUGUGUAAAAAUCACAAAUGUGUUUUCAGCAUAAAAAUUCCUUUGUAUGUUAACUUUAUGUUCAACAAAAAGCUUGGCUUAAAUGAAAUGGUUCAGGCAUAAAAACGAUAAAGACGAUGGGUUAGAAAAUAGUACUUCCGUCUAUUUUAUUUCAUAAAAUGUGCAAGAAAUGCUUCAUAUGUGUUAAUUAUUGACUGUUGAUUUUAUAUAACAAAUAUAGCUGAAUUACAAUGUAAUGGGUCACAAUCAGGUCUGAAAUUGUAUUUUUCUUGCAUACUUCAGAAAGGCUGUAACUGUGUAUCUUAUGCAUCUGUCGGUCCGUCCACCAGGUGGUUGUCAGACGAUAACUCAAGAACGCUUGGGCCUAGGAUCAUGAAACUUCAUAGGUACAUUGAUCAUGACUCACAGAUGACCCCUAUUGAUUUUGAGGUCACUAGGUCAAAGGUCAAGGUCACGGUGACCCAAAAUAGUAAAAUGGUUUCCGGAUGAUAACUGAAGAACGCUUAUGGCUAGGAUCAUGAAACUUCAUAGGUACAUUGAUCAUGACUCACAGAUGACCCCUAUUGAUUUUGAGGUCACUAGGUCAAAGGUCAAGGUCACGGUGACCCAAAAUAGUAAAAUGGUUUCCGGAUGAUAACUCAAGAAGGCUUAGGCCUAGGAUCAUGAAACUUGACAGGUAGAUUGAUCAUGACUCGCAGAUGACCCCUAUUGAUUUUCAGGUCACUAGGUCAAAGGUCAAGGUCACGGUGACCCGAAAUAGUAAAAUGGUGUCCGGAUGAUAACUCAAGAAUGCUUAUGGCUAGGAUCAUGAAACUUCAUAGGUACAUUGAUCAUGACUGGCAGAUGACCCCUAUUGAUUUUCUGGUCACUAGGUCAAAGGUCAAGGUCACAGUGACAAAAAACAUAUUCACACAAUGGCUCUCACUACAACAGAGAGCCCAUAUGGGGGGCAUGCAUGUUUUACAAACAGCCCUUGUGUUAAUGUUAUGUCUUGGAAUGAAAUUAAUGUUACUUGAUGUUAAUAAAGAAGUCAUUAUGA